GUCUGGAUAAUGCGUCCUUUCAAACACCCUUUCCAAAGCGGCUAAUUGUUCUGCCGAGAAUGUUGUUCUACUUCUUCUGGGUCUUCUACAUGCAGGUGCCGUAGAAGUUUCAUUACAUUCUAUAAAAUACACAUGCCGCUCACGAUAAGGAAGUAACGUUUCCAAAACAUAAAAAGCAAAGAUGAGAAGCAGUACAGACGUAGCUAUUCUUGAAUGACUCCACUGUGUUCGAGCGUUCAUCAAAGCGGCAUAAUGCGAACAGCAUGACUGGAAACGCGCGAUUUCGAUAAAAUCAAACUCAUCGUGGAUCAUGGAUAGAAACGUGGAAAUACAUAAAACGUGUAUAUUCCGACUUACGAAACACGCGAUUUCAAAUUUUAUUCAAUUUUAUUCUUACGUAAAUGUUUAUAUAAAAUAAUUUGAUUGUAAAUUUCCAGAAUUCUUACCUAAGGAGUUAGUUGGCGUCGAUAAUAAGCGUGAGACCGUGAAAUCUUGUGGUGUAUGAGGAUUCGUAAUCUGUGAAACUAUUACGCUGUUGUUUUCUACUUGUUCCGAAUUUCCACACAACAUUGUUUCGUUU